UCGACAUUCUCCAACAGAUUGAGGUUCAAGAUCCUCACUUUCUUGCAUAAUGCUAGAUGCAACAUUAUAUGCAAAGACAUAAUCCACCACUAUAUCCACACGAUUAAAAUUUGUCUCAAUAUCGAUUGGAUUUAUUGAUAGUUCCUUAUUUUCCUUAGUCUCGGGCUCAAUGGAUUCUUCAUGAAUCUCAGAAUUUAUUAAUUCGUGAAUUUCCUCAUGAGAUUCUUUUGUUGUGUCAUUUUGAUCAUUUGCUUUACUUUUUCUAGGAUUUC
rnacentral:lncRNA from 1 species